rnacentral:lncRNA from 1 species
AAAAGAGCAGUUGAAGAUGAGGACCUGCCUUGAGUCUGACAAAGAGAAUAACUCCUCUUAACUCCAGACAUGAAAUGAGAGAAUAACUUUAUCUUAACUCCUGACACCAAAGUAAACAAGAAGAAAGUUAUCCUCCUGGGGUCUAAGUCUUGGGAAACAAGUUUUGUCCAGAUUUCUCAUCCAAGAUGCCACAAUACACAGAGCCAUCAUGUCUCCUUACUUAGGUUCCUUUUGGCUGUGACCACUCCUCUGUCUUUUUGCUUUUUUUUUUUUUUUUUUGGUGAUGGCCUUGACUGUGCCUCUAUUGAGUCCUUUUUGCUCAAUCUUUUUUAUUGUGUUAGAAUACAUAUAACAUAAAAUUUGCUAUGUUAACCAUUUGAAGUAUACAGUUUAGUGGUGUUAAAUGCAAUCAUAAUAUUUUACAACCAUCCUCAGGAUCCCCCUCCGUAACUCUUGUCAUCUUGCAAUAUUGAAACUCUGUACACAUUAAACAAUAAUUCUAAACAAUGAUUCCCUUCUACCUCCAGCUGCUGGAAACCACUAAUCUACUUUCUGUGUCUAUGAUUUUGAUUAUUAUGAGUACUUUAUAUAAGUGAAACUGAUAGAUUCAUUCUUGAGCUUAAACAGGAAGAGGAAAAGGAAAAAUGAACUGAUGUUUAGACACAUAGAGAAAAGCAUCCAAGCAUUUAAAUCUUAAUAGGAAAAACAGGAAGGGUCCUUCAAGCCUUGCCCCUGAGGGAACAGCUGGAAGUCAAGCUGUGAUACAAGUAUAAUGAGAGAGACUUGAGGGCAAAGAGAAAGAGGGGGAACAAGAACUAUUGUUCUUGGGAAUUCACAAAAAAAGCAGAAAGUUGAAAUGGUCAAGAAACAUGCAAAAGAUGCUCAAUUUCUCUGAUAAUUAGAGAUUUCAUUUAGAAUCACAUAUAAUGUUAUUCAACAUCAGAAAAUUGACCAAAACAUUUCAAAGUUUGACAAAUUUGAGUACUGAUGGUGUAGAGACAUAGAGGCAUGCAUACAUUGCUCAUAGGAAUAUAAAUUGGUAAAUCACUUUAGAAACUAUUUGGAGAUAUUUAGUAAAGUUGAAGACCUAGUUACUGUACUACCCGUAACUCCAUAUCAGCAUAUUGAUUCUAUAGGGCAAUCUUGAAAUUAUG